rnacentral:rRNA from 1 species
GAUGAACGCUGGCGGCGUGCCUAAUACAUGCAAGUCGAGCGAACGGACGAGAAGCUUGCUUCUCUGAUGUUAGCGGCGGACGGGUGAGUAACACGUGGAUAACCUACCUAUAAGACUGGGAUAACUUCGGGAAACCGGAGCUAAUACCGGAUAAUAUUUUGAACCGCAUGGUUCAAAAGUGAAAGACGGUCUUGCUGUCACUUAUAGAUGGAUCCGCGCUGCAUUAGCUAGUUGGUAAGGUAACGGCUUACCAAGGCAACGAUGCAUAGCCGACCUGAGAGGGUGAUCGGCCACACUGAACUGAGACACGGUCCAGACUCCUACGGGAGGCAGCAGUAGGGAAUCUUCCGCAAUUGGCGAAAGCCUGACGGAGCAACGCCGCGUGAGUGAUGAAGGUCUUCGGAUCGUAAAACUCUGUUAUUAGGGAAGAACAUAUGUGUAAGUAACUGUGCACAUCUUGACGGUACCUAAUCAGAAAGCCACGGCUAACUACGUG